rnacentral:lncRNA from 1 species
GUCUGUCUAGAAUUCCAAAGGCAAAUGACUCAAGGUAACAGGAAAAAAGAAAAUCCAGUAUCAGGAUAAUCAGAACACCACAGGUUUACAGUUUGUAGAAACUAGAACACGAGCAGCUCUCACUUAAGGUCUGUGAUGGAACUCCAGUGGAGAAAUGGCUGGUACUUUUUCCACCCCUUAAUCAGAUUUUUUUUUAAUUAAAGUAUGUAACCGGUUAUUUUUACUUGAAGUAUUUUGGGGUGGUCUUAACAGGGAAGAGGGUGGGGGAGAAAAUGUUUUUUUCUAAGAUUUUCCACAGAUGCUAUAGUACUAUUGACAAACUGAGUUAGAGAAGGAUUGUACUGCUAUGCUGUUGGCACCAAACACCUUCAGGGAUUGGAGCUGCUUUUUUCCUUGGAGUAUUCCCAGUGAAGCUGAAAUAUACAGCACAGUGCAGCUUUGGUUCAUAUUCAGUCAUCUCAGGAGAACUUCAGAAGAGCUUGACUAGGCCAAAUAUUGAAGUUAAGUUUUCAAAUAAUGGAACUUUUUAAGAUGCCUUUUAAAGGGGAGGGGCAAGUUUUGGCAAUUAGUUGGCAGUGGCCUGUUUUGGUUGGGGUUGGGUGGGUUGGGUUUAGGUAAUUGUUUAGUUUAUGAUUUCAGAUAACUCAUGCCAGAGAACUUAAAUACUUAGGAUGGAAAAACUAAAGAAAUCUCACCUCCCAAGUUGGCAAGUAACUCCUGAUCCUCUAGUUUCUUGUUUUACCCCAAUUUUUGAACUGGACAGCUGGGAACUUCAAAGAUUCACUGGAUUUAAAGUGUAGGGCUUGGGAAAGGAAAGUGUUGGAUUGGGGGUUGGUCUAGCCCACUGGGUUGACCAAGAUAAAAACUUGGGGAAUUGUUUAAACACUAAAGUUGUUUGGAUAUGGUAGUGUGUGGUUCUCUUUUGGAAUUUUUUUCAGGUGAUUUAAUAAAACUUAAUACUACUAUAGGAGCUUCAGAGCAAAGGAAGUGGCUUAAUGAUCCUGAAGGGAUUUCUUCUGAUGGUAGCUUUUAUAUUAUCAAACUUUUUUCAGAUAACAUCUUCUGAGUCAUACCCAGCCUGGCAAUAUGAUGGCCUAGAUGGAGAGGGGAACAGCUCCUUGACAGGUUUCUCUAUCAGAAGAGUUGCUUCAUAUCAUCUGGGAGCAGAAAACAGCAGGCAGCUGUUCACAGAUAAGUUUAACUUGCAUCUGCAGUAUUGCAUGUUAGGGAUAAGUGCUAUGUUUAAUAAGAGCUGUGGAGGUCCUAGGUCCCUUACUCAAGGGAUCUCAGGAUUUUGAGGAAUUUUCCCAUCCAGCCUUUUAAAAUGAGACAGGCCUUAUGCCUGUGGGCUUCCAUGAUGGGCUAACUCACUUCACUCGAGGCAAGUAAUUCCUUAAAGCCUCUUGAGAUUAAUACCUUAAUAAUCAAGGAUAAUGUUGAUAAAAUAAAAAUUUGUUUAGCAUUGAUUCUUGAAAACCCUAUGAAAAGAUAGCAUAAUGUGCUGUUAACCAGAAUCAGAUAUGUUAACCUUGCUAAAAUUUAAAUGUUAUGUGUAUUGUGCAGAAAACCGUAAAAUCACUCAAAAUAAAAUACUUUAUUUAGCGAAUGUAUGCUUUUAGAAAGCUGUCUCCUUAUUUAAAUAAAAUAUUGUUUGU